rnacentral:rRNA from 1 species
UACGUAGGGUGCAAGCGUUAAUCGGAAUUACUGGGCGUAAAGCGUGCGCAGGCGGUGAUGUAAGACAGUUUGUGAAAUCCCCGGGCUCAACCUGGGAACUGCAUCUGUGACUGCAUCGCUGGAGUGCGGCAGAGGGGGAUGGAAUUCCGCGUGUAGCAGUAAAAUGCGUAGAUAUGCGGAGGAACACCGAUGGCGAAGGCAAUCCCCUGGGCCUGCACUGACGCUCAUGCACGAAAGCGUGGGGAGCAAACAGG